GACGAACGCUGGCGGCGUGCUUAACACAUGCAAGUCGAACGGAAAGGCCCCCUUGUGGGGUACUCGAGUGGCGAACGGGUGGGUAACACGAGAGUAACCUACCCUUGACUUUGGGAUAACUUCAGGAAACUGGGGCUAAUACCGGAUAGGAGCUCCUGCUGCAUGGUGGGGGUUGGAAGGUUUCGGCGGUUGGGGAGGGACUCGCGGCUUAUCAGCCUGUUGGUGGGGUAGUGGCUCACCAAGGCUUUGACGGGUAGCCGGCCGGAGAGGGUGACCGGCCACAUUGGGCCUGAGAUACGGCCCAGACGCCUACGUGAGGCAGCAGUGGGGAAUAUUGCACAGUGGGCGCAAGCCAGAUGCAGCAGCGCCGCGUGCGGAAUGAUCGCUUUCGGGUUGUAAACCGCUUUGGCCUGUGACGAAGCGUGAGUGACGGUAAUGGGUAAAGAAGCACCGGCUAACUACGUG
rnacentral:rRNA from 1 species